rnacentral:other from 1 species
GCGGUGCUGUGGAGUGCGUUAGGCCAUUUUUCCCUGGGGCUUUCUUUCUCUAGGGAGCUGUCCCUGUCGGACCCCUGGGUUCGGUAUAUGGCGCCCACCUGCACAUGCAGGCCACAGAGGAUCUAUCGUGCCGACGGCUCAUAUGGCUCCGCC